CCUACGGGAGGCUGCAGUGAGGAAUAUUGGUCAAUGGGCGGGAGCCUGAACCAGCCAAGUCGCGUGAGGGAAGACGGUCCUACGGAUUGUAAACCUCUUUUGCCGGGGAGCAACGGGGUCCUUGCGAGGGCCCAAUGAGAGUACCCGGAGAAAAAGCAUCGGCUAACUCCGUGCCAGCAGCCGCGGUAAUACGGAGGAUGCGAGCGUUAUCCGGAUUUAUUGGGUUUAAAGGGUGCGUAGGUUGUUUUUUAAGUUAGUGGUUAAACGUCGGGGCUUCACCUUGAUUUGCCAUUAAUACUGUAAGACUCGAGUUCAGACGAGGUAGGCGGAAUAAGUUAAGUAGCGGUGAAAUGCUUAGAUAUAACUUAGAACUCCGAUAGCGAAGGCAGCUUACCAGACUGCGACUGACGCUGAAGCACGAGAGCGUGGGUAGCGAACAGGAUUAGAUACCCCUGUAGUC
rnacentral:rRNA from 1 species